AGGCGGUUUGUCGCGUCUGCCGUGAAAGUCCGGGGCUCAACUCUCGGAUCUGCGGUGGGUACGGGCAGACUAGAGUGAUGUAGGGGAGACUGGAAUUCCUGGUGUAGCGGUGAAAUGCGCAGAUAUCAGGAGGAACACCGAUGGCGAAGGCAGGUCUCUGGGCAUUAACUGACGCUGAGGAGCGAAAGCAUGGGGAGCGAACAGGAUUAGAUACCCUGGUAGUCCAUGCCGUAAACGUUGGGCACUAGGUGUGGGGGACAUUCCACGUUUUCCGCGCCGUAGCUAACGCAUUAAGUGCCCCGCCUGGGGAGUACGGCCGCAAGGCUAAAACUCAAAGGAAUUGACGGGGGCCCGCACAAGCGGCGGAGCAUGCGGAUUAAUUCGAUGCAACGCGAAGAACCUUACCAAGGCUUGACAUGAACCGGACCGCUGCAGAAAUGUGGUUUCCCCUUUGGGGCUGGUUUACAGGUGGUGCAUGGUUGUCGUCAGCUCGUGUCGUGAGAUGUUGGGUUAAGUCCCGCAACGAGCGCAACCCUCGUUCUAUGUUGCCAGCACGUGAUGGUGGGGACUCAUAGGAGACUGCCGGGGUCAACUCGGAGGAAGGUGGGGACGACGUCAAAUCAUCAUGCCCCUUAUGUCUUGGGCUUCACGCAUGCUACAAUGGCCGGUACAAAGGGUUGCGAUACUGUGAGGUGGAGCUAAUCCCAAAAAGCCGGUCUCAGUUCGGAUUGGGGUCUGCAACUCGACCCCAUGAAGUUGGAGUCGGUAGUAAUAGCAGAUCAGCAACGUUGCGGUGAAUACGUUCCCGGGCCUUGUACACACCGUCCGU
rnacentral:rRNA from 1 species